UAGAAAAACCAAAACGAAAGCAACUACUCCAACCAAUCACAACAGGAGCAGACAGCGUGAUGAGCAAAUCAGAAUUCUGAGCAAUUACCUGUAAGUCGCUCAAACCGCGGGAAAAAUCGCGCGUACAAGGUGCGAUUGCCUUUGGUUUUGCUUCUCAUUGGUUG